rnacentral:tRNA from 1 species
GUAGGGUCAGCUAAAAAAAGCUAUUGGGCCCAUACCCCGAAAAUGAUGGUUUGACUCCUUCCCCUACUA